CCUACGGGAGGCAGCAGUGAGGAAUAUUGGUCAAUGGCCGGAAGGCUGAACCAGCCAAGUCGCGUGAGGGACGACUGCCCUAUGGGUUGUAAACUUCUUUUAUAAAGGGAGAAUAAAUGCUACGUGUAGCAUGAUGCCUGUACCUUAUGAAUAAGCAUCGGCUAACUCCGUGCCAGCAGCCGCGGUAAUACGGAGGAUGCAAGCGUUAUCCGGAUUUAUUGGGUUUAAAGGGUGCGUAGGCGGUUUGUUAAGUUAGUGGUAAAAGGUCGGGCCUUAACCGUGAUUUGCCAUUAAUACUGUUAGACUAGAGUGCAGAUGAGGUAGGCGGAAUAAGUUGUGUAGCGGUGAAAUGCUUAGAGAUAACUUAGAACUCCGAUAGCGAAGGCAGCUUACCAGUCUGCAACUGACGCUGAGGCACGAGAGCGUGGGGAGCAAACAGGAUUAGAUACCCGAGUAGUC
rnacentral:rRNA from 1 species